rnacentral:rRNA from 1 species
UACGUAGGGUGCGAGCGUUAAUCGGAAUUACUGGGCGUAAAGGGUGUGUAGGCGGUUGUUUAAGUUUGGUGUGAAAUCUCCCGGCUCAACUGGGAGGGUGCGCCGAAUACUGAAUAACUAGAGUGCGGGAGAGGAAAGUGGAAUUCCUGGUGUAGCGGUGAAAUGCGUAGAUAUCAGGAGGAACACCGGUGGUGUGGACGGCUUUCUGGACCGUAACUGACGCUGAGACACGAAAGCGUGGGUAGCAAACAGG